UACGUAGGGGGCAAGCGUUGUCCGGAUUCAUUGGGCGUAAAGAGCGUGUAGGCGGCCAGAUAAGUCCGCUGUGAAAUCUCGAGGCUCAACUUCGAGCUGUCGGUGGAAACUGUCUGGCUAGAGUCCGGAAGAGGAGAAUGGGAAUUCCUGGUGUAGCGGUGAAAUGCGCAGAUAUCAGGAAGAACACCCGUGGCGAAGGCGGUUCUCUGGGACGGUACUGACGCUGAGACGACGAAGCGUGGGGAGCGAACAGG
rnacentral:rRNA from 1 species